AAAGACCACCGCACCGUGCCCGCGCGUGGGGUUGCAGCGCACCACACGAGGGAAAAAACCACCGCACCGCGCUCGACGUGCACGCCCCGCACCCGUCCGCUUUCUCCUCCUGCGAAUCUCCCCACGUGCACGAACCCUAGCCGCCGCUCUCCUCUCCCGCGACCCCCAACCACCACCGCUCCUCUCUCCUCUGCCUCGACCCCCAACCACCCAACCCAAACUCCGGCGGCCUCCUCUCCCUCCAGCGCCGCCGCUCCACCAUCACCUUCCUUCCUCUCCAAAGGAAGGGAAGGGAAGGGGAGGGGAGGCCCCAGAUCGAGCGGAGCGACACCCAGAUCCGCAGCAGCACCGGCACCAGCGCGCCGUCGUCCACCUGGACUCUUCCUCUGGCGGAUGCGCGGGGCAUCGCCGGCCAGAGAGGACGGGGAGGAGAUAUGCCAGCGAGGGAGGCGGCUCGCCUUGGACCGGCCAUGGCACCGGCGUUGCUAACUCCCACGGGCCUCUCAUUUCCCAUCUUUUCUGGAAGUGAUGAAACAAGCAAGGAGGAAGGGCGUAGUGUUGGAUAUUUGACCAGUAUAUCCAUAUUAUAAUUAGAGGAGAGGAGUUGUACCGCCUUGCACAUAAUGCAUUUUAAUUCCUUAUUUCUCACAUCCCGGAAGUCACAUUACAUCUAUGAACCAGAAGAACUAGAGAGCUGGGUCAACAUAGGAAGACGCGAGAGCUAAAGCAAAUAGACUGCGAGGUUAUCAGGAUACCGGAGAAAUGGUCAAUGCUUUAGUCCUUGUAAAUGGCACUGGUUUUUCUGGUGCGAGUAAAGCCUGACAGUGGUGUACUCCAGCAAUGUGAAGCUGGGACUUCCCUAUCAGGCGUGACCUUGUAGCCAAAUCCAUGAGGAGUCGGAGGUAGUUGCAGCAACUAACCAUAAAGCGACGGCGGAGAUCCAGUUCAUCUGUACAUCCAAGGCUGCCUUCUGACCGAACCGUGUCGCGGCAAAAAAAUCCGCUUUGAUUCAAUGCUCUGAUCAUCUAUGCUUUCCUGCUGUAGAUUUUUGGAGCUUGCUCUGUUAAUCCGUGUUAUUUUGUGUAUCACAUUUUAGGUCUGACCAGCACAAGGUGGCAACAGCAGUAGUGGCGAAGGCAUGAAGAGGCCCACAUCUGAAAAUCCAUUCUGCUGACUGAUCAAGGGAGAUGGUCUUAGCAUCCACUGUGACAAUGUUGUCCAGAACAUGGACGACUCUGGAAACUGAAAAGUAACAGAUUUUGCUUCCAGGCACACAAAGGCCACCGAUUGGAUCAGUGCGAAGAAACCCGUUCGGACCGCUGCCGCAAGCCUCGCCUCAGCAACGGAUCAACCUCUACACCUACAUCCACUUCGACAGGUCGUCAGUCAAAGCAGAUCCAUUUUACCCUCCUUCAUGCGGAUGAAUCUGAUCAAGUUUAUUUCAAAUUCGCCUCUGCCUGCCUGCUUCUAGCAGGGUUGCAUUUCUCCAAUUUUCAGAGCUUCGAAUCACUACCUACGAAUUGCGUAUGUGAUUCAUCAUCGUUCAAUUACCCUGUACCCUAUGUGAAUUAUAUUCUGAAGUACAGGUUGACAACAACCUACUAGCUGUACAUACUUUUCUAGCUGGUACACAAUAAAAAGAAAGGGCUUGAGUAAAUGCAGAUUGUUCAUUUCAUAUCUAUCAGAAGUUCCUGCAUUUAUUUUCCAGUAGCCAUAAUCAAUGUCAGUCACACACUUUGAAGGUUUUACACUUUUAUUUGGUAUCCUACUGUGCUGCAUGAUAACAUCCACAUUUACACGUAGUUUAGGCCCAGUAAAGCAUUCCCCCCCUUGAUUCUUCAGCUUGCAAGAAAGGUUAUGGAUUCUGGGUUGACAUUCUAUUUAUAAAAAGGUGCCUACAUGAAAAAAAAUCAUUGAAAAGCCAAGUGAGACACAAUAACUGUCCACCCAAAUCAUUGUGCUGGCUCAACGCCCUCUGCGAGACAGAGGCUGGCGGGCUCUUGCUCUGCACCCGCCAAUCUGGCGAGGGUGCUAUCCUGUGAAUUUGCCCGAAUUCUGAAACUAUUGCAUGUGCACUAUAUGUAUGAUGGAAGGUUUCACUUAAGAAGUGUCCAAACUGAGGUACUAGAUAACUGGCAUACUUAAUAGAAGAGACAUUCGCCCUAACCUGCAACUGCACCAGUUAUAUAGAUGCACAUAUAACUGAUUUGUUGCUACCUGAGACCAUUAUUUUAAUUGUGAAUCUUAUUUUUCUUUACCUCUAGGCCAUGAACCAUCUUACCCUUAAAUCAGAAUUCAUGUUUUAUUUGCUCCUAUUUUGUUCCUUACCAGUGAUAGUGCAGCUUCCUAAAUGCAUAAAGCUCCCGGGAAGGUAUAUCUGUACAGCGAACUGGAUUAUGCAUUAAUUGGUUGAUUCAGAGCUCUUGUAUCUUCAGUGGCAUUCACCUUUGGGCAAUUCAAGCGACCACAGAUCAUGGUCUUCUUAUCGACGUCUGAUUGUUGAAAAGAGUUCUUAUGUGGGUUCUGUUUUAAUGUCUUUGUAAGCUAUUCUCUUGUGAUAUUUCAGUUGUUCUGGAUGCGAUAUUUUUGUUUCUAGCUACUGAAAGCAUGAGUCUAAUGUAAAUUGAACCCAUUUUAAAGUUGUAUUUGCAUUGCAAUUAAUUGGAGCAAACUGGUUAGCCAAGUAUCUAUAGACUAUUAAUAUAGUUAUUCUUUGUCCUUCC